CACUGCUGUUUUUCUCAUCCUUCUGCUUCAUUUCUUUGAUGGCAACAUUUAAAAUAUAUGUCCCAAGUAGGAAGUUUAUCAUAGGAAGUCAUGUCACUGCCCCGGUUGACCUGAAACUUACAGACCAGACCUACAAUCAAGAGCCAGCCUGGCCUCACCAGUGCUGUGUCCUGCAGGUGGGGAGACUGAGUUCUGUCCAGGCUGCUCAUGAGAGCUGCAGUAAAAUAAAAUGGCUGCACACGACUGUGGAUGCCUGGAGGGGGUCUGGGAUCCUCACAUCCCCAAAAUGA
rnacentral:lncRNA from 1 species